GAUGAACGCUGGCGGCGUGCCUAAUACAUGCAAGUCGAGCGAACAGACGAGGAGCUUGCUCCUUUGACGUUAGCGGCGGACGGGUGAGUAACACGUGGGUAACCUACCUAUAAGACUGGGAUAACUUCGGGAAACCGGAGCUAAUACCGGAUAAUAUUUCGAACCGCAUGGUUCGAUAGUGAAAGAUGGCUUUGCUAUCACUUAUAGAUGGACCUGCGCCGUAUUAGCUAGUUGGUAAGGUAACGGCUUACCAAGGCAACGAUACGUAGCCGACCUGAGAGGGGGAGCGGCCACAAUGGAACAGAGACACGGUCCAGACACCUACGGGAGGCAGCAGUAGGGAAUCUGCCGCAAUGGGCGAAAGCCUGACGGAGCAACGCCGCGUGAGUGAUGAAGGUCUUCGGAUCGUAAAACUCUGUUAUUAGGGAAGAACAAACGUGUAAGUAACUGUGCACGUCUUGACGGUACCUAAUCAGAAAGCCACGGCUAACUACGUGCCAGCAGCCGCCGCAG
rnacentral:rRNA from 1 species